rnacentral:lncRNA from 1 species
CAAACAAAUUCUCAGAAAUUUUUUGCUUAUGUAUGCAUGUUAUGUGUACAUAUUUAUUGAAUUAAUCGCAAUCUCAUCAUUAAUGUGCAUUGUGUGCGAGAGUGUAUGCACACAUAUGUACAUACAUAUGUACAUGUACUGCACGGGAUGAAUGUAUUGCGCUCAUAUUGUACUUGUACAUUAUUCGUCAUGCAUUCGGCCGCAUUUGAACCCGCAUAUUCUUACACAUUUAUAUCUUAGUGGAGUGACGAUUUCUGUGGGAUUGCUUAGGGAGACUCUGUUCAGGAUUUUCCUGUAAGUUAUUAUAAAUAGGCAGACCGUAGAUGUAGGUGAAUCAAAACCAAACCUCUCUUCACGUGGCUUUUCGCUUCUCUUUUGUUAUCUUAACAGACAGUGGCGAUCUUUUACAGUUAUAUAGCAUGCGUACAUAUACGUGUGUAUAUAUAUGUAAAUAUGUAUAUGUAGAUAAAACGAGUAAGAACGUUUGUGAGACGCUUCGCAUGCGUCACAACCUUUUUACGCGGUACUCAGUCAGUAUAUCUGUACCUUAGUGGUUUUUUCGAAUAUUACAUUUUUCUACGCCUGUAAUCCAAAUUACUUUGCCUUUUUAGGUCGCCACCCUCUGCCGCUUCAUGAGGUAGAGUGUGCAAACCAGAAAGAAAAACGAGAAGGGACGUGUGAGACGCUUCUUAUGUGUCACAACUUUUAUACCCGGCACUCAGUACUACAUUUGCACCUUAGCGGUGUUUUGUUAAAUUUUAAAUAUUUUCUUCAACUGUGAUCUACAUCUACAACACUGCUCACACCAACACGCUCCUUUAGCUCGCCGCCCUUCCGAUACCCACACACGGCAGAGGGAGGGCAGAGACAGAGACCGAGUGAAGCAGAAGUAGAAUGUGAAAAGAACAACAACAGCUGCGGGACAGGGUGGGUGGCCACUGGAAAUUAAUUUCUGCAUUGUGGCUAUAAUAAUGAUCCGAUCGGAUUGGUGAUCUGAUAGAUAUGGCCAUUUCCAACGGAAUUGCGUUUUUAGUUUUCUUUUAUCUUCAAGGGCGUGGCUCAUUUUUUAAAUACACUGUUUUCAGUGUGAGCAUACAGCAGUCCGGAGUCAAAAUUUGGUGGCUCUAGCUCUUAGUCUCUGAGAACUAGCCGACAAACAAGACGGACAGACGGACAGACAGACAUGGCUCUAUCGACUCGGCUAUUGAUGCUGAUCAAGAAUAUAUAUACUUUAUGGGGUCGGAAACGCUUCCUUCUGUGCGUUACAUACAAACGUUAUUCGCACAAAUACAAUAUACAAUAUACAAUAUUUACUCUUUGAGUACCGG